UGAGGAAUAUUGGUCAAUGGGCGAGAGCCUGAACCAGCCAAGUAGCGUGAAGGAUGAAGGUCCUAUGGAUUGUAAACUUCUUUUAUAGUAGAAUAAAGUGAGCCACGUGUGGUUUUUUGUAUGUAUACUAUGAAUAAGGAUCGGCUAACUCCGUGCCAGCAGCCGCGGUAAUACGGAGGAUCCGAGCGUUAUCCGGAUUUAUUGGGUUUAAAGGGUGCGUAGGCGGAAUAAUAAGUCAGUUGUGAAAGUUUGCGGCUCAACCGUAAAAUUGCAGUUGAUACUGUUAUUCUUGAGUGUACAUAAGGUAGGCGGAAUUCGUGGUGUAGCGGGGAAAUGUUUAGAGAUCUCGAAGAACUCCAAUUGCGAAGGCAGCUUACCGGGGUACAACUGACGCUGAGGCACGAAAGUGUGGGUAUCAAAUA
rnacentral:rRNA from 1 species